AAAACUCUCGGGCCGUUGGUCUACCGAGCAAUAUCACCCGCUCGAUGGAUGGUCUUGUCUCCGUUGU
rnacentral:pre_miRNA from 1 species